rnacentral:rRNA from 1 species
GACGAACGCUGGCGGCGUGCUUAACACAUGCAAGUCGAACGGAAAGGCCCUGCUUUUGUGGGGUGCUCGAGUGGCGAACGGGUGAGUAACACGUGAGUAACCUGCCCUUGACUUUGGGAUAACUUCAGGAAACUGGGGCUAAUACCGGAUAGGAGCUCCUGCUGCAUGGUGGGGGUUGGAAAGUUUCGGCGGUUGGGGAUGGACUCGCGGCUUAUCAGCUUGUUGGUGGGGUAGUGGCUUACCAAGGCUUUGACGGGUAGCCGGCCUGAGAGGGUGACCGGCCACAUUGGGACUGAGAUACGGACCAGAGUCCUACGGGAGGCAGCAGUGGGGAAUAUUGCACAGUAAGCGGGAGCGUGAUGCAGCGACUCCGCGUGUGGAAUGACGGUCUGCGGGUUGUGAACCGCUUUUGCCUGAGACGUAGCGUUAGUGACGGUAAUGUAUAAAUAAGCACCGGCUAACUACGUG